GCAGACACGUGGGCUUUGGGGGCUCUCCAUUUUUGGGCUCUCGGCCAGCUCGGAGCUUCCGGCCAGCCUUGAGAGUGACUUUGGGUUUCCAGGUCGUCGGAUCAGGGGAAGAAGGAAUCCUGGAGAGCCACUCCCCUGAAGUUCCACCUAGAAAGCCUGGAGAACGAUGGAGAAAAGAGAUUUGUCCAUGGUCUGCCUUCUGACCAACAGUCUCCAGGCUCCUGAAGCCAGCCCUUCCCAUCAUCACACCUUAACCAUUUUUGAAGACUCCUUUGCCACUGGGUUUUCUUGGUAACAUUGUGAAAAAUUAAUUGAUCAUAAAUAUCAGUAUGUGCCACAUAGUAGGUGUUCAAUAAUGCUACAUGAAUGAAUGAAUAUCCCGAGUACUGCUUGUGAAAAACCGUCAGAUGGACAGCAGACUAAGCUGAUUCACAGUCACUCAAGUGGAUCCUAAUCAUCAAUUCAGUCUGUUACUGUAAGACUCUACAACUGUGAUUUUUAAAAACAUUCCAUUAAUGCUAUUAAAAUUGGGCCAUCUUAUUGCCCCCUUCCAUCUCCAUCUUUUCCAACUGUUUCCAAAUUUUUUUUGAUCAUUUACUAAAUGUU